UACGGAGGGAGCUAGCGUUGUUCGGAAAUACUGGGCGUAAAGCGCACGUAGGCGGAUCGAUCAGUCAGGGGUGAAAUCCCAGAGCUCAACUCUGGAACUGCCUUUGAUACUGUCGAUCUGGAGUAUGGAAGAGGUGAGUGGAAUUCCGAGUGUAGAGGUGAAAUUCGUAGAUAUUCGGAGGAACACCAGUGGCGAAGGCGGCUCACUGGUCCAUUACUGACGCUGAGGUGCGAAAGCGUGGGGAGCAAACAGG
rnacentral:rRNA from 1 species